AGCUUUCUGAAUCCGUAGCGAGAUUUUGUCAGAUUCAACCCGUCAGGGUUGAUGAGAUUCGAAAAAUACGUAAAGCU
rfam:Schistosoma mansoni, Puerto Rico, WGS project CABG01000000 data, contig: 0071